CUGCGCCAAAUGAGAAAUGGCUAUAUGAGAAAACCAAGGAUUCAAUAUUCUUUAUCAAUAUCCUACCCAGGCAUGAUAAACAUGGGGCAAUUAAUGAUCUUAUGAAGACAGCAAACCAUGUCGAGGAAGGAAAAAGAGAGGAAUUUCUCAAUGGGGAUGGUCAUUGUGCAACUGGGUUUGUUGUUGAAAAUGGGCCAGAUCUCCUGAAGAUACUGACAUGCGCUCACGUUAUAGAACAUGUUUACUCAGCUACUGAUCCUGUGUCCACCCAUGAUUGCAAUAGGGUAUUUAUUACACAGGUACUAUGUGACCAUUCUGAGCUGAGCUUCCGCAGGCCUGGGCAAAACGCACAUCCUCAGCGGGUUUAUGCCAAAGGUCGGAUCAUUGGCAUUAGUUGUGAAGAUGAUUUGUUGCUCAUACAAGUACCUCGGGAAGAUGUGGUGGACCUGGACGAGAUCUGCAUGAGAAACCACCCCCAUCUUACUUUCCCUUCAACCCAGCCAGCUGCAUUUGAUGUGUGCGCGAUGGUAUCAUGGCCUCCACUACGACAUAGGACAGCAGUAAUAGGUCGUGUUUCUCACACUUCAAGAUCAUUCGAUGAUUUAGGCCAGGAAAACCCUGUUGGAUAUAGGAUGAAUCUCAUGGAAGUCAGGAUAGGAAGUGAAUUGGGCAGCUCUGGAGCUCCUUUGGUGAAUGGCAAUGGGAAGGUCAUUGGUAUGUUACAUGGGGGGUUUAGAGAUGCUUUCUCUUACUUCUUGAGCCUUAAUGAUAUCAUGCUCUUUCUGGCGCAUCGAGGCGUGGUGGUCAUUCGUAAGUUUCUUUUACUUCUUGAGCCUUAACGAUAUCGCUCUUUCUGGUGCAUUGAGCCUUAAUGAUAUAUUUAGGUUUUAGUCAUCUUAUAAAUAUGUUUGACAGUAUUUUCUUCAUGAAUAACAUGCAGGUGAAGACUAGUGAUUUGACCAUGAUGUUUUCUUGUAUGCAACAUGCCAUCUUCACUUUUGUUACUUGCCAGGACUAACACCAUCCUAUUUUUUUUCUGCAGAAAAUGCCCGGUUCACUUCUCUUUCUGGUAAGAACCAAAUCAUACAUUGGUUGCUGCAAUAUUAAUUUUGAUCUUAUUCUUUAUAUAUGAUGGUGAACUGCAAAAAUAGAUCAGCUGUGAGUUUGUUUUAGAUCAAUUUUCUGUUGCCUUAGAAUGUCAUCUUAGAAAUUAGAAUGCCAUAAUUUACUCUGUUUUCCUCAAUUUAGAGUUUGCUUUCCAUUUUGUGAUCCUCGCUGGUAAUGAUGAGUACUAGUUAAAUGAUAGUCUGAUUCUUUCCAUAUCUUAUAAAUCUCCAGUCUAUCGUUUGUGUUUAUGUGUGGCUUGGUAUUCCUAUUCUAGUUGACUCUUUCUUUAGAUUGUUAACUGGUGGAUUUGCAAAUAAAAACCUAUAGGAAUGGUGUAAUUUUCUGUAAUACAUCUUAUGGGUGUGAGUACCACCUUGUGGUUUAGGAGAAUUGCACAGAUGGACUCCAUUCAUUAUCUUACUUUUGCUAUAAAUUCGAUAAGAAUGAGGAAGCACUGUAAGCUGAAGUUCAAUUCCUUUGGCAAUAUCCUCUCAUAUAUUUCUUUGUGAAGUUCAAUUGCCAACAUUCUUUACGUGUCAAACUAAUUUCCUGUUGCCUUAAACUGUCAUCUGACAGUGUUCUAUUGUAUUUUGUUUGACAGAAAAGCUUGUUUGAACUGCAGUGCUCAUCCUAGCGGAGACAGCAAAAUGAUUGUGUCACACAUAUUAGCCAACACAAGUUUGUUACGGAAGCUGGAUCGACCUUAUCAAUCAGAAGAACUAUAUGCACACUCCCUGAAAAACUUGGAUCGAAACUUUUACCAUCUGCUGUUGAACUUUUGAGAAGUCACAGAGCUCGCACUUACCUCUCUGUUUACCAGUUAAGCAAAUGUAUUCGGUUUCCACUGGACCAAACUUAGGCGUAGAUGUUAUUUUCAGGAAGUAAAUGCUUGGCUUCGUGUCUGAUUUCCUGCACGGUCUGCUGCGUUUCAUCUGGACAUUAUGUAUGCUGGAACUGAUUAUCCCAUGGAAUGCAUUGCUACUUGUAUAUAA